rnacentral:rRNA from 1 species
GGACGAACGCUGGCGGCGUGCCUACACAUGCAAGUCGAGCGAUGAAGCCCUUCGGGGCUGAUUAGCGGCGGACGGGUGGAGUAACACGUGGGUAACCUGCCUCAUAGAGGGGGAUAGCUCCCGAAAGGGAGAUUAAUACCGCAUAAUGUAUUUUGGCUGCAUGGCCGAAAUAUCAAAGGAGUAAUCCGCUAUGAGAUGGACCCGCGGCGCAUUAGCUAGUUGGUGAGGUAACGGCUCACCAAGGCGACGAUGCGUAGCCGACCUGAGAGGGUGAUCGGCCACAUUGGAACUGAGACACGGUCCAGACUCCUACGGGAGGCAGCAGUGGGGAAUAUUGCGCAAUGGGGGAAACCCUGACGCCAGCAACGCCGCGUGAAUGAUGAAGGCCUUAGGGUUGUAAAGUUCUGUCUUCUGGGACGAUAAUGACGGUACCAGAGGAGGAAGCCACGGCUAACUACGUGCCAGCCGCCGC